rnacentral:rRNA from 1 species
UACGAAGGGGGCUAGCGUUGCUCGGAAUCACUGGGCGUAAAGGGCGCGUAGGCGGCGUUUUAAGUCGGGGUGAAAGCCUGUGGCUCAACCACAGAAUGGCCUCGAUACUGGGACGCUUGAGUAUGGUAGAGGUUGGUGGAACUGCGAGUGUAGAGGUGAAAUUCGUAGAUAUUCGCAAGAACACCGGUGGCGAAGGCGGC